ACAUGCAAGUCGAGCGGACAGAUGGGAGCUUGCUCCCUGAUGUUAGCGGCGGACGGGUGAGUAACACGUGGGUAACCUGCCUGUAAGACUGGGAUAACUCCGGGAAACCGGGGCUAAUACCGGAUGCUUGAUUGAACCGCAUGGUUCAAUUAUAAAAGGUGGCUUUUAGCUACCACUUACAGAUGGACCCGCGGCGCAUUAGCUAGUUGGUGAGGUAACGGCUCACCAAGGCAACGAUGCGUAGCCGACCUGAGAGGGUGAUCGGCCACACUGGGACUGAGACACGGCCCAAACUCCUACGGGAGGCAGCAGUAGGGAAUCUUCCGCAAUGGACGAAAGUCUGACGGAGCAACGCCGCGUGAGUGAUGAAGGUUUUCGGAUCGUAAAACUCUGUUGUUAGGGAAGAACAAGUACCGUUCGAAUAGGGCGGUACCUUGACGGUACCUAACCAGAAAGCCACGGCUAACUACGUGCCAGCAGCCGCGGUAAUACGUAGGUGGCAAGCGUUGUCCGGAAUUAUUGGGCGUAAAGCGCGCGCAGGCGGUUUCUUAAGUCUGAUGUGAAAGCCCCCGGCUCAACCGGGGAGGGUCAUUGGAAACUGGGGAACUUGAGUGCAGAAGAGGAGAGUGGAAUUCCACGUGUAGCGGUGAAAUGCGUAGAGAUGUGGAGGAACACCAGUGGCGAAGGCGACUCUCUGGUCUGUAACUGACGCUGAGGCGCGAAAGCGUGGGGAGCGAACAGGAUUAGAUACCCUGGUAGUCCACGCCGUAAACGAUGAGUGCUAAGUGUUAGAGGGUUUCCGCCCUUUAGUGCUGCAGCAAACGCAUUAAGCACUCCGCCUGGGGAGUACGGUCGCAAGACUGAAACUCAAAGGAAUUGACGGGGGCCCGCACAAGCGGUGGAGCAUGUGGUUUAAUUCGAAGCAACGCGAAGACCCUUACCAGGUCUUGACAUCCUCUGACACCCCUAGAGAUAGGGCUUCCCCUUCGGGGGCAGAGUGACAG
rnacentral:rRNA from 1 species